UACGAAGGGGGCUAGCGUUGUUCGGAAUUACUGGGCGUAAAGGGCGUGUAGGCGGCCCGUUAAGACAGGUGUGAAAUUCCUGGGCUCAACCCAGGACGUGCGCCUGUGACUGGCGGGCUUGAGUCCGGGAGAGGAUGGUGGAACUCCCAGUGUAGAGGUGAAAUUCGUAGAUAUUGGGAAGAACACCCGUGGCGAAGGCGGCCAUCUGGACCGGUACUGACGCUAAGGCGCGACAGUGUGGGGAUCAAACAGG
rnacentral:rRNA from 1 species